rnacentral:rRNA from 1 species
GACGAACCGUCCAAACGUUAUUCGGAAUCACUGGGCGUAAAGAGCGCGCAGGCGGUCGAUCAAGUCGAGUGUGAAAGCCCCCGGCUCAACUGGGGAGGGUCAUUCGAUACUGAUCGACUCGAAGGCAGGAGAGGGUAGUGGAAUUCCCGGUGUAGUGGUGAAAUGCGUAGAUAUCGGGAGGAACACCAGUGGCGAAGGCGACUACCUGGCCUGUUCUUGACGCUGAGGCGCGAAAGCUAGGGGAGCAAACGGG